GAACUUCCACUUUCCUUCCUUUGCUUGCCCGCGUUAUGCAGCCAUGUCUAGAGGGGAGGAACUGUGGGGUGAACAACAUGCACAAAGAGAUAGACAAAGCGGGGAGAGGCAUUUAAGAAUAAAACAAUGGUUUGCCUCUGCAUGUGACCCUAGAAAAAGGAAGUCAGGGGAAGAGCAAAACAGUUUAAGAGAGAGCCAGGGCAAGUGGGGAAAGUAACCAAGAAAGGACAUCAGCACACACAUCAGAUGCUUCAUGUUUUACCUUGCGUACAUUAUCAACACAGUGGGUCACACUCACAGUUGUUUCUGUACAAGGAGGCUGACGAGUCGCCGUCUGUGGGUCUGAAAGGCUCUUAGGUCAAGAGAGCAGAGGAGAAGACUCAGAUGGAAAAACUGACACACUUCUAACCAUUGUUGAGGCCUUACCUGUCUGGGCCUCUUUCACAAAUGUUGUCCAUAAUGUCUGAGUUAUUAGAAAACCACCAGAGGACCCACUUUAAAAGGUCCUUUUUCUACUCAACUUCAGGCCCUUUCUCAUACUGCCAUCCAGUGCUAUGGAGACACCCCUCCCACCUCCACUGCAGUGAUUAUUGCACUUCCCUCUCAAUCCUAUAGAUGGCAGCAGUGUACAGAAAACCCCCACCUCUCUCCACUGAUCACCUCCCAUUCCUAUCAACUCAAUGGUGCAGUAGCAAAGCCAAAUCCAGACAGCCAUUAAUAACUUGAGAAAAGUCCUCUCUCUGCUUCAUCCUCAUGUCUCACUUCAUUUGAUCUCAUUUGAACUUCUGACUGGCCAGUAAUUUGCAAUGUAAACUAUUCCUAUCGCAACACCUUCACAACAGCACAACGAAUUUUCAUCACAGAGAGUGUGUGAGAG